rnacentral:rRNA from 1 species
UGCGGAGGGGGCUAGCGUUGUUCGGAAUUACUAGGCGUAAAGCGCACGUAGGCGGAUCAGAAAGUCAGAGGUGAAAUCCCAGGGCUCAACCUUGGAACUGCCUUUGAAACUCCUGAUCUUGAGGUCGAGAGAGGAGAGUGGAAUUCCGAGUGUAGAGGUGAAAUUCGUAGAUAUUCUGAGGAACACCAGUGGCGAAGGCGGCUCACUGGAACGAUACUGACGCUGAGGUGCGAAAGCGUGGGGAGCAAACAGG